rnacentral:rRNA from 1 species
UUGACCUCAAAUCGGGUGAGACUACCCGCUGAACUUAAGCAUAUCAAUAAGCGGAGGAAAAGAACUAACAAGGAUUCCCCUAGUAACUGCGAGU